UACGUAGGGGGCAAGCGUUGUCCGGAUUUAUUGGGCGUAAAGAGCGUGUAGGCGGCCAGAUAGGUCUGUUGUGAAAACUCGAGGCUCAACCUCGAGACGCCGAUGGAAACCAUUUGGCUAGAGUCCGGAAGAGGAGAGUGGAAUUCCUGGUGUAGCGGUGAAAUGCGCAGAUAUCAGGAGGAACACCAAUAGCGAAGGCAGCUCGCUGGGACGGUACUGACGCUGAGGCGCGAAAGCGUGGGGAGCAAACAGG
rnacentral:rRNA from 1 species